UAAUUGGAUUCCUAGCACAACUAGGAUUUUAUUUAAUUUACUGUUUUAUUUCAGAUUUGCAUUAGUUUUCCGUUUCCUUAUUUGAUUAGGAUUUACUAUUUUAUCAUUGAAUAGGAGUAGAGUUUUAAUUCUUUCUUUAAUUAGGAUUCCUAGUCUAGUUAGGAUUUAUCACUAUAAAUAGACAGCACUAGUAGCAUUGUAAAUCAUCUUAUUUUCCUCAUAAUUUUAAUUCAAAGGUUAUAAACCUAAUUACUGAUUACUGUUCCACCUACAAUCAACUCUAUUCUAGCUUACUUGUUGAAAACCUACAGCCCUACAACCUCCCCCGCAUCAACUGGUAUCAGAGCGAUCCUAGGAUUCCUUUUUUGUCUGAAUUAAACCAUGGUUGGAAGAGGCAGAUGCAGAGGCAGAGGCAAUCAGCCCCAACAAGAUGAAAUAGCUGAGAUACGGCAAAUGACUGAGGAUUUGACCCGGGCUGUACAAGCCUCGCAGCGUCAGGAACCCGUGGAAGCCCGAAUGGAGACUCCGGAAGGCAACCACCAAAACCUUGAUUUUCAAGAAGCUCUUGAGAGUGAAGAGGAAGUCAAGGACGUAAACCCCUUUCAUGAAGCUGACCUGCAAACCCAGCAGCACGAGGCAGAUUGGAAGAGCGUUUACUUCAUGCUCUUGAUUUAAAUAGUGGAGGAGUUAAAAUUGAAGUUGCUGAUUUUCAUGGGAAAUCGCAUGNNNNNNNNNNNNNNNNNNNNNNNNNNNNNNNNNNNNNNNNNNNNNNNNNNNNNNNNNNNNNNNNNNNNNNNNUUUUUGUAAAACUUAAAUUAAAGAGUUCUGCACUUCAAUGGUGGAAGAGAGUUGAGGAGCAGCGUGCACGACAAGGAAAGCUUAAAAUCAGCACGUGGGAGCACAUGAAAACUAAGCUAAGGAAGCAAUUUUUAGCAGCUGAUUACGCAAUGGAACUAUAUGAAAGGUUCCACUGCUUGAAACAAAAUAGCAUGUCUAUUGAAGAGUACACUGCAAAAUUUAAUAAUUUGUCCAUUCGAGUUGGAAUAUCUGAAAGUAAUGAACAAAUUACCUCUCGCUACCUUGCUGGUUUGAAUCAGUCCCUUAGAGAUGAAAUGGGCAUAGUCCGAUUACACAAGCUUGAAGAUGCUCGCCAAUAUGCCUUAGCAGCUGAAAAGUGAGUUUCUCAAUAUGCCUUACCAGUUGAAAAGCGAGUUUCUCGUUACGGUGUUAGAAGCCCCAUAAACAGAAGCAAUUGGCAAAACAAUUUCGGAGCUGCAAGAGGGAUUCAAACAACUCAACGAAGCGGGAAAAAGGCUGCCGCUAAUAAUAAAUACAAUGAAGAGACAACCCGUGUUGAUGGGAACGAUAAAGGGACAGGAAUAGUACCUUAUGGGGGACAAAACAAUUCUGGUUCGUCUACAAGGAGAGGCAACAAUUCUCAUGUUCGUUGUUUUACUUGUGGAGAAAAGGGACAUACUUCAUUCAUUUGUCCACAAAGGAGGGUGAAUUUAGCCGAGUAUGAUGGAGACCUAGACCCUAUUUUUUAUUAUGAUGAGGAAGUAGAAGAAAUUGAUCCUCACCCAGCUCAAGGUGAGUCUUUAGUUGUUCGAACAGUCAUGACAGCCAUGAACAAAAAAGGAAAAGAAGAUUGGAGGAGGCGUAGCAUUUUCCGGACACGUGUUAUUUGUGAAGGCAAAGUGUGUAAUUUAGUCAUUGAUGGAGGAAGUAUGGAAAAUAUAAUAUCAAAGGAGGCUGUAGAAAAAUUAAAGCUUCCUCCAACAAAACAUCAUCAUCCCUACAAAGUAGGUUGGUUGAAGAAAGGACACGAGAUACCAGUAACAUCUCAAUGCUUAGAGCAAUUCACAAUGGGAGAUGACUUGGGAGAUGACUUGGCAGAUGAAGCACUAUGUGAUGUAGUACCAAUGAAUGUUGGGCAUAUUCUAGUGGGACGACCUUGGUUGUAUGAUCAUGAUAUGGACCACAGGACAAGGCCUAAUACUUAUUCAUUCUACAAGGACAACGAGAAGUACACUUCGCAUCCUCUCAAGGAAGAAACAAGGCAAAUAGCAAAUAAAGGAGCUGCAGCUAGUAAAUUAAAUGGGUUUGUAAGUGUUAAAGAAUUUGCAGCUACGCAUAGUGAGGUGGGAGUCACGUAUGCCUUAGUGAGCAAACUGAUAGGAGCUUACCAGGUUGAAAAAUCAGUCGAAUAUUCCUUUGAAAUUCAACGAUUAUUGCAGGAAUUCAAGGAGCUGAUUAGUGAAGAUGUACCGAAAAGCUUGCCACCGUUAAGAAGCAUCCAACAUGCUAUUGAUUUGGUACCAGGAGCAGCUUUACCAAAUCUGCCUGCUUACUGAAUGCCUCCUUAAUAGUAGGCUGAAAUAGAAAGACGGGUUAAGGAAUUAUUGGAAAAAGGUCUAGUGCGUGAAAGUAAAAGUCCAUGUGCCUGCCCAGCCUUAUUAACACCAAAGAAAGACGGUUCUUGGAGAAUGUGUGUAGAUAGUCGUGCUAUAAACAAGAUUACAAUCAAAUAUCGCUUUCCAAUACCAAGAUUGGAGGAUAUGCUUGAUCAACUAUUGGGUUCUAAAGUGUUUUCCAAAAUUGACUUGAAAAGUGGAUAUCACCAAAUUAGAAUGAGGCAUGGUGAUGAAUGGGAAAUAGCUUUUAAGACAUCAGAUGGGUUAUUUGAAUGCCGCACAGAGGAAGUUCAUUUAAAACACUUGUGACAAGUGUUAGAAGUACUUCAUCAAGAGCAGCUGCACAUAAACCUGAAAAAAUGCAGUUUCCUGCAACCAGAAGUGGUAUUCUUGGGAUACAUUGUGUCUGUUGAAGGAUUAAAACCAGAUCCCGAAAAGGUUCGUGCAAUUACCGAAUGGCCAGUACCGCAAUCCAUCAAAGAAGUUAGAAGCUUUCAUGGUUUGGCCUCUUUCUAUUGGAGAUUUAUCCAAAAUUUCAGUUCAAUUAUGAGUCAUAUAAUUGAAUCUAUGAAAGAAGAAAAGUUUGAGAGGACAAAUUUUGCACAAAAGGCAUUUGAAAGAAUCAACUUUUUGAUGACUAGAGCACCUAUUCUUGCACUUCAAGAUUUUGAGAAAUUAUUUACUGUCGAAUGUGAUGCUUUACAUGAAGGGAUUGGAGCUGUACUUAGCCAAGAGGGCAGGCCUCUAGAGUUUUUUAGUAAGAAGUUGUCUAAAGCUAAGAAGCGUUACUCAACUUAUGAUCUAGAGUUCUAUGCCUUGGUACGAGCUAUUCGACAUUGGCAACAUUACUUAGCUUAUCGUGAGUUUAUGGUUUUUUCUGAUCAUCAGGCCUUGAGGUAUCUAAAAUCUCUGAAUAAACUCAACAAUCGACAUGCUAAGUGGAGUUCUUUCCUUGAUGAAUUUCAUUUCUCACUAAAGUAUAAACCCGGUCAAUCUCAUAUUGUGGCUGAUGCAUUGAGCAGAAGAUCCCUAAUUUGUCAAUUUUGAGCAUUCAAAUUACUGGUUUUGAAGAACUGAAAAACCAGUAUGAUUCAGAUUCAUGUUUUGGCAAGAUAAAGGUUGAUUUGCUGCAUUCUUCAGAAGCUGAAAGUCUGCCAUGCCGAUUGCAAGAUGGUUAUUUAUUCAAAGGGAAUAUGUUAUGCAUUCCUGAAGGAUCAUUAAGGUUUACUCGUCGGAGCCGAGUUUUUUUCAAACCCGGGGAAAAUGAUGCAGGAGCAAUCCUAGUCCUAAUUGGAUUCCUAGCACAACUAGGAUUUUAUUUAAUUUACUGUUUUAUUUCAGAUUUGCAUUAGUUUUCCAUUUCCUUAUUUGAUUAGGAUUUACUAUUUUAUCAUUGAAUAAGAGUAGAGUUUUAAUUCUUUCUUUAAUUAGGAUUCCUAGUCUAGUUAGGAUUUAUCACUAUAAAAAGACAGCACUAGUAGCAUUGUAAAUCAUCUUAUUUUCCUCAUAAUUUUAAUUCAAAGGUUAUAAACCUAAUUACUGAUUACUGUUCCACCUACAAUCAACCCUAUUCUAGCUUACUUGUUGAAAACUGACAGCCCU
rnacentral:lncRNA from 1 species